AACAGGUGAUGUAACGGUGGCUAUGUCCAUUACUUUUUUACAGUGUAUGACCUAUGCAAGGAGGAAAAAAGUCAGGCUAUCUCAGCCUCUACAACUUCAGUUUUACCUUUUUUUCAUCUUGCACUUCUGUAAAGUUCCCCAGACUUUAACUUGAGUCGACUUGAGACAAGAAUGGAUCUUGUUAACCUUGAUGGCGUGGGGAUCCAUCUGUGUCAGGUUAACCCGCUGGGAGCCUCUCCCAGCAGGUAGUCCUGAAGGGCCUAAAUCAUCUGGACGGCCAGAAGCGUGAAAUCCUUCCAGGCCUGGACAGAUGUCUCUCUGUUCAGCACCGACUCAGCGUUCAGCGACCUCACAGACCUUUAAAGACCCUUGGAGCAGACUUUGGCUCCCAAAACGCAGAUCAGACCGCGGCCAGACCAGGCUGUAUUAUUACACACCCCAAAAAAACCCACCCAGAAUCUAGACUGAGGAAAAAUUGACAAAAUAUUCAUAUUUGAAUCAUGCAGAGGAGGCUGGACUUUGACACCAAAAGAUGAUUUUACUUUGACUAUGAAUUGAAAAAACACAACAACAAAUAAAUGAACUUAGUACCAUGGGUGCCAAAUGCUCUCAUGAACUGACAAGAUGCCAAGGCCAGGUCAGCCAGAGGCUAAACUGGUCUAUAUUUGUGGGUGUGACACAGCCGAAAGGCAGCGAGAGAGUGAGAGACAGAGUACUGACCUCUGUGACCUGAAGACCAUCUGCACACACCUUGAUCUUUCACACAUCAGGAGAUGAAGCUUAAGCAACAUUAAAACGCUCUGAAUGGUUUCCUGUCAGCUUCCUGUCCGUUGGAGGCCUCCUGUACCAGCUGAUUGAGGUGGUGUUAUGUUUUUGGCCGAGGUGGCUGAGCCACGGGCCUAAUGGGUUCCAGCUGGGCCUGUGUGUCUGCAUUAAGUCCUCAAGUGGAAAAGUGGCUGCAAAGUCAAACCACCUGGUGAAGCCGAGCUGCCGGGGAGGUGUGAGGUGGCGGUGGACGAGGAAAACCCUGGAAAACCUUGCCCAAGAUUAUGGAGGAGGUCUUUAUGUUUUCUGAUUUGAUUUGAAGCCACUUUAUAAUAUGUUUUUCAGUUGCAAGAACAUGGUAAGCCUAAAAAAAGACAUUGACAUCAGUGCAGCUAAGUUGGCUGCUGGUGGUUAUUUUGGCACUAUGUGACCUGUCAGCCAAAAGAACAUUUGCCAAUUCACGUGAACGGUUUAAGCUUACAAGUUAUUUAACAGGCUUAAUCCGCUACAUUUUUCAAUGCUCUACUAUUUGACCUUGGCCCAUUUCAACACAAAGCCUGACAAGAAGCAACAGGAUCCGCUGCCGCUAACGACAGCUGUAAUUUCAUUGGCUUGAUAUUACAGCGUUGUCACAAGUGUAGCUACAGACAAGAGCGAAUAAUUCUUUUACAAGCAGCAUGACAGGAGAAAUGGCAACCAACUCUAGGAUUUCACGUUUGUCCGGGGAGACGUCUCAGCAGCAAAUACGUUUUGGCACAGGCAUGCAGUGGUUGUCACAUUAACAUUCUCCAUUUUUAAGCCUGCAUUUAAACAAGAAAGUCAGCUUAGAAGAUAUUAAUUUUCAGAACAACAGCCUUGAGGAAAUACCUGUACUGCACACUCAGGGAUUUAGGACUUCCUCUGGGUCUUUGCCUUGCUCAAGGGCUUUGUGUUGGUGCCCUUUUUAAUAGGGAGGGACUAACAUGCCUCAUUCAAUACGUGUGUCCUGAAUUCCCAAGCACAGAUUCAAACUGGCAACCCUCCAGUCCAUUAUGUUACUGCUGCCAAACAGUAAUUUGGAAAUUUGCAAGUUUUUCAUGUGCUGGGUUCAUGGGGCCUUUUCAAAAGUAAUUCCAUAUGAUGUUAUCACAUUCUUGGUAAAGUAAAGCUAUUUUUAAAUCCUUUUGGAGAGGCACUGUUUUUAGUUAUCUGAUAUGAACAUACAAAGCUCUCCUAAUGCCCUUAAUACUGUAUGUUACAACUGAAGAAGAUAUAGUUCGACAUUUUUGGAAACACACAUGCUCACUUUCUUGCUGAGAGUUAG